AAAAAUAUAUAUGUAGAAAUAGCUUCCAGAAACCAACUAAAAGAUAUAACAGAGAGGCGAUGAUUUCAUCUAAGACAUGCAAGUGAAAUUGACAAUGAAGCUAGUGAUUUUUUGGUAGGUAAUAUGGAUGAAGAUUUUGUAGACAAUGCUCUGCAAGUAGGCAGACUAUGCCGCAUGAUAGGGGAUAACCUAAACGAAACCUACGCGUUCAGAAGAAAUCUCGUCGUGCUCAUUAUUCCAUGGAACUUUCUUUUCAAUAUAUGCAGUACCACAAUCAAAAUGAUGGCUCUUAUAUGUCGGAUAAACUUUUACAGAUACUGAAGAUAUUUCAUCACAGUUCUAAUUUGAUUGAGAUCACAAAGGAAACAGGAAGAUAUUCAGAUACAUGUUUCAUGGAAUGGAAGAGGAAUAUAGAGACAAUAUCCGAUAGAAUUCAAAAUUAUGUUCUAUAUCAUAUACUGAGUUGAAAAUAAUCAUUAAGUUUGAUGAAUGCUGGUGAAUAAACAUGAUGACCAUGUUUAGGAAGAAAAAAGUGAGACGAAAGAUUUUUCCGAUACUGACGGAUGAAUCACAAUGCAGCUCCAUCCUCAUUGAUUUUUCACCUUUUUCUCCAUAGGAAGCAGCAUUUCGUCUAUUUACAGAGGCUUAUGUAACCCGAGCAGGUUUUACGAUAUGGACUGGUCUAAAAAAAAAAAUCACAGCGACAAUAUUCCACGUGGGGAUGGAAUUAACGCUCUAGAUAAACUGUUGCUAGGGUAUACAUAACAAUGCCAGCAAGACUGUACAAAAUAUAUGUUGUUGUGUGCAUUGCAUAUGUUAAGGUUCAUUACAUUUUUUGGUGGCUUUUAUCUAAUUUAUUCAAAUGAUAGGUGAAAAUAGGUAACCUGUACAUCUGACCACUUCCCAUGCAAAUGUAAACAUUCUUAGACCAUCCUAACCUAAGUGUUUUGUUUUGUGGGGUUUUCCCCCAAAAGAGAAUUCCCAUGAUCUCAACUUCGGCAAUACCGGUAAAUUUUGUAUGUAUGCAUGUUGCUUUUCUUGAAUGUGUGAUAAAAUUUUCGGUAUAUUUUUGUAGAUGGCAAAUGUCAUUUCAUUAUUACUAUGCAUUUCUUGUGCUAAUCAAAUUCACGCAGUCUUUAUUUUCUCCAACUUGUCGUGCUGUUAGAUGAAAUGUUGUAAAUUAAAAACAAUCAUGAAUAUCACAUGUGAAAAGAUUUCUUGUGGGGAUGGAGUUUUUUUUAUGAGGCCAGAAGCUAUAUUAGUAAGAAAGUGAAAUACAAUUGAAUUGUAAUACGAGGGCGAGUCAAUAAGUAACCAGCCUAUCCCAUUUCCGAUUGACCGCGACGGUCACAAUUUUCAUGCCAUGUAUAUACCUGGGUACAAAACUGCACCUAUAUUGAGUCAUUCUUUAAUAAGAUAUUGAAAGUCAAACAUGGCUAGUGAUGCAAAGGCAUUGCUUUUCAUCUAAAGUUGAGUACCGUGCUAUAAUUCGGUACUUGUAUUUAAAAGGUAAAACAAGGAAAUACAUGACAAGUUAUUCGAUGUUUAUGGGUCUUCUGCACCAUCUUAUGCUCAGGUUAACUUCUGGAUAGGGGAAUUGAAACGCGGUAGAACGUCUUUAGAAGAUGAAGCCAGGUCUGGACGCCCACUGGAUACCACCGACUAAAACAUGUGUAAGAAAGUUCGGGAUCUGGUAUACUCUGAUAGGCGAAUUCAGGUGGAAGAAAUAGCGCAGGCAUUAGGCAUUUCACAUAGUAGUGUUUCAACAAUCUUACAUGAUCGUUUAGGUAUGUGCAAGCUAACAGCCCGUUGGGUCCCCAAAUCUCUUAGCGAUGAACAAAUGGCAACCAGAGCAUCAGUAUAUAGCGCCUUGUUGAAGUGUUUUAUGUCAAAAAAUGAUUUUCUUUUGCGUCCUUUUGCAUCUGGUGACUGUAGAUGAGACUUGGGUUCAUUAUUAUAAGCCAGAAAAUAAAGCUCAGAGUCGUCAGUGGGUAGGGCCUGGGUCCCCGAGGUCAAAGAAGUUCAAGACGCAACCAUCUGCUGGUAAGGUGAUGGCCACAGUAUUUUGGGACGCAAAAGGUGUUAUUAUGUUGAACUUUUUACUCAAGAGAAGUACAAUGCAAACUUGCUAGACCAGCUGAGAACCGUCAUCCGUGAAAAACGCCGAGAUAAGCUCUCUACAGGUGUUUUGCUGCAACAAGGCAACGCGAGAGUCCACACUUGCAAAGUUGCAAUGGAUGCUGUAGAGCGAAACGGGUAUGAAUUAAAACCACAUCCUGCCUAUUUGCCUGACUUAGCUCCUAGCAACUUCUUCCUAUUCCCAAACUUGAAAAAGGAUAUCCGUGGACGUCAUUCCAGUCUGACGAAGAAGUCGUGACGGCAGUUGAUGAGUGGGUCAGUGGAAGGGAUCCUGACUUUUUCAGUUCUGGGCUGAUGGCACUUGAACACCGUUGGUCAAAGUGCAUCACACUAGAGGGCAAUUACAUCGAAAAAGAAGAGGUGGAUCUCAACCAGAAAUAAAUUAGGCUGGUUACUUAUUAACUCGCCCUCGUAUGACGCACGUUGAAGUAUUGCUCCAAUUUACACAUUAAAUAUGCCGCGUCUUAAUAAUAGAAAAUCCUUUUUCAGCAACAAGAUUUUUGACAGGAUUUUUUUGUACAUGUACUUUUAAACUUAUAAAUGUGUAAUUAGAUUUUAUAAAGUAAUUGUAAAUUACCAUAGAUUUACACACAAGCUCGCACGCACACACAGUCCAUUUAGAUUUUUAUCUCAUGCCUCCACCUUUCAGGAAGGAAUAUGGUGCAGAUUGAGAGAGUCAAAGAACAUUUGUAUUCUUUAAUUGUCUUUUAUUGUGUGUAUUUAUAAAUAAAUUGGUUGAAUGAAAUCUUAAUAAAAUGACAUAGAAUACAAUGCAUUAUACGCUAUUCGGAAUUUAUGCAGUUUCACAACUCCAAACAGUUGUUCAGCCGAGGUUAUCAAAUGUGCUACGUCUAGUAUUGAAUCAGGCAGUUUGCUUUUUGUACAUGAUACGGGAAAUGUUAAUUAGUAAUAGCAGCAAAAGUUAUUUGAAUAAAACCAAC